rnacentral:rRNA from 1 species
GUAAGGAAUAUUGGUCAAUGGACGAAAGUCUGAACCAGCCAUGCCGCGUGCAGGAUUAAGGCCCUAUGGGUCGUAAACUGCUUUUAUACGGGACAAAACCCCCCUACGUGUAGGGGGCUGAUGGUACUGUAAGAAUAAGGAUCGGCUAACUUCGUGCCAGCAGCCGCGGUAAUACGAAGGAUUCGAGCGUUAUCCGGAUUUAUUGGGUUUAAAGGGUGCGUAGGCGGACUGAUAAGUCAGUGGUGAAAUCCUGUUGCUUAACAACAGAACUGCCAUUGAUACUGCCAGUCUUGAGUACAGUUGAGGUAGGCGGAAUGUGUCAUGUAGUGGUGAAAUACUUAGAUAUGACACAGAACACCGAUUGCGAAGGCAGCUUGCUAAACUGUAACUGACGCUGAGGCACGAAAGCAUGGGGAGCAAACAGGAUUAGAUACCCUAGUAGUCC